CAGUCGUACCGGCGGACAAUCAGCUUUUUGAGUGUGAUUAUGUGGAUUGUGAGGAGUUUAAUCCCCCUCAUGUUUUACGUAUCCGUGCUCUUGGGUGUACUUGCCCGUGUGGUAGGUUAACAUCAAUUUCGGACGCCAUAAAAUGGCUGGAGGAAUGUAGCUUCGGUCUUGUAUUGAAGUGUUAUAGCCUUCGGUAGAUGUGAUGAUCGGGGAUUGAGGAUUGCAACGGGAUACCCUUCGGGGCUACCUGUCUGGUCUCUGAUCGUUGCUCUGGUGCCGAAGCUUGCUUACGGUUAUCAAGUCGAUGGUCAAUAGGUUAGAAUGGGUUAAAUUCGUUAAGGAUGUUGACGU
rnacentral:rRNA from 1 species